GAUUCUUCACCUUUUUUCUCAAUGUUACUACUGUAGAUGAUUUUGCCUCGCUGCUUUGAGUUGUCAUACCCUGCCAUAUCAAUAGCUUGUGAUGUUUCAUUCUAUAAGAAUAAAAAGAAACCUGACUAUUAAAACGUUUCAUAUUAUCAACGUAUUUCAUUGCAUAAUUGCAAAGUAUUGUUUAAUAUGAUUAUCAGUGUAUGUAAAUUGCAAAACAGAUCCGAGUAAUGAAUGUAGAAUUUGAGGAAUCCAAUAUUGGAGUGACCGAUAUUCUUCUAGAAAUCUUCAUUUUUAUUAAAUAGCUUGGAAAGUCAAAUAUGGAAGAGACUGCAUUUCCCUUCAAUAGUUUCAAUGCUGCAUUCUGGCCUGACUUGAUAGCCAUUUUCGAUAAAAUACUGGGUGUAUUAUGGAUUGCUAUACUAUACGAAAUUGGCCGUGUUCUGUUGACUACCAGUUUUUUGUCUUAUAGCAAUAAAUUGUUUAGAAAGAAUUUCAAACUGAGAAAACUUAUUUAUGUAUAAAAAAAUGUCGAAUUGAUAUACCAUCUGGUUUUA
rnacentral:lncRNA from 1 species